UGUUUCCCCAGGAAGCCAGCUGGAAAUACAACAAAACGCCUCUCCCGCUCCUUUAGCAAAACAUGUGUCAGAGCAACGCAAGAUUUGAUUGGGACUGCUUUACUUCGUUAACAAUUACAGCAGGAGUAGGGCUGAUUGGAGCCAUUGUACAGUGUCGGGAACAUACCAGGACACUGAGAAUAGUGUCAUGUCAUAAGGACCCAGAGCAGAUGGACCCUGCUGUGAUGCACAAAGGGAUGAAAUGGGAUUUUGUUGGCACCAAGACCUGAUUGCUUUGCCAGUUACCCUCACCCCUGGCUCACAAGGAAAGUGUAUGGAGGAGAUUCUCGAGGAACCACAUGAGUUUUAAUAUCAUAAGCUUCUGCCCUGAAUUGAAAGCCUACAUCAUCCUGUGCAUUUCACAAAAUCCUAAUGAAAACUACACGAAGCUCAAAGUAUAGAUAAACAUAUCAGUGUUGACAACCGUGAAACCACGCUAUCCAAAGGCUACGAGCUCUGAGGAAUUCCUGUUAGCUACAGCACAUGUAGGAUCAAUGAAGGAAGAAAAUGAAGCCUCCUGGGAGACAAAAUUAUGCCAGGACAAAGCUGAAGAAGAGCAACACCUGUCGGAAAUGUCCUAAGAUAAAUUUUGAAAGGUGCCAGGCUUGGAGGUGGGGCAGGCACCGCCGGAAGAGACACCUUCCCUUUGGGGCUUUCUUUGCCUGUGACAAGAACAGCACUUGAUGCCCUUAGAAUAGUUCCUGGAACAUCUGAAUAAAUAUCUGUGGAAUGGCUGAA
rnacentral:lncRNA from 1 species